rnacentral:lncRNA from 1 species
AGCUCUCAAAGUUGGGGUUCAACCUUUUUUUUUUUUUUUUUUUUUUUGUUAAUGUUAACUCUCUCCAAAAUAAGAAAUCAAAUGCCAGCUCAUUUAAAGUGCAAUUCCAAACACGCCUUAGCCCAUUGAAUUGAAACCUUUAGCUCUCUCUUCUCCAAACCAUCCUCAAAUUGUGUCCAUGAAUGAACCCUAACCCCAAAUCGAUUUUCCUCCACCAUCGAAGGGGAACAUCAUUUGUUAAAAGUGAAUGAGCUUUAUUGAGCCAAACAUGACGAAACUUUUCAAUUCAUGCUUCCCCUGGCGUCGGGCUGCAAUUUGAAACUGAUUGUAUAAAUAAUGGACCAGCAGCUUCCAUGCCUAUGGAUAAGGGUAGUGACGGUGGACAUUCGUUUACUGCAGAAAUGAUGACUAAGCAAACUGAUCUUCAAAACAUAGAGGAUGAAUUCACAACAACAAAUGAUGAUGAUAGUUCGAGUUCUAGAGCAACGAGGGCAGAUGCUAGGAGACUUGCACAUACAUCAACAAAUCAAACAGUUCUGUAAAUUUCUUAAAAGCGGCAUGAAAUUAGAGUGUAGUUCUGGUAUAUAAAUUUUUUAUAGUUGCUUUUGGUUUUGGAGGGUGUUACUGUUUACAGCAUCUAUUUUUGGAUUUUAUUUUUGAUGGUGUGUCUUGGAAAGAAAUGUGAUGCAUAUAUUUACGAUGGAGUGUUUUUUUUUUUUUUUUAAUAGAGGUUUAUGAUGCCUGUACAAGUAUGGAUAAGUGCAACUCAAGUUUCUAAACAGGAAGCCCAUUUUCUGAAGUUUAGACUGGAUGAAUCUAUACCUUUUCGGUUCCAGCAAGACACUUAAGAAGCCAAGGCAGUGGAAUAUGUUGGGGAUGUGAUCUAACUGUAAUGUAAAAAGCAUGGCUGCUGCUGUUAAUGUACAAUAUUAUGGCCUUUUCUUGUACUAUGUAUUAAAACAUGGAUUUUUGCUAUAUUAAUUAGGUUUUUUUGGGCUAUAUUAACUGGUUUUUCAAAUAAUUUUUGGCUUGUACUACUAGGAGUUCCAACCAGAAUAGUGGCCGUUAGAAUAGGAAUCAUGGAAAUAUUUCCUUUAGCUUACAUCCUAGUCUAGCUAGGAAUUAAAAUUCAUUUUUUCUUUCAGUAAUAGGUUUUAUAUCUUCCCUUUUUUCUUAUCCUUCUAAUGAUAGGAUUCUACGCCUAUAUAUAGGAGCGAAUCGUGUAUGUAAUAAAUCAUUCUGCCUAAAUUCUAAGCCAUUCUUUUCUUCUUUUCUUUUCUUGAUCAUGUUCUUUCCCCCUCUCUGCUUCAAUAAUAUCCUAAAAAGACUACCACUACUAAUGGAAGUGACUCACAAAAGCAUGCCCAUCAGAUGGAAAAAUAUCCGUCUUUCCAUAUGUCAACAUUUUCUCUUGCGUGUUCUUUGUUUUCCUGGAAUUUGUUGUGCUAGUGAUGGUAGAUGUCACUUCUGAUGCUUUGCAGGCAGGUGGGAUAGUGUUUGCAAUUUAGUGCUGCUGCUGAUGGUUGCGUAAAUAAUGCUCUCAGUGAUUUUCACUGAAAAAUAAUGGCAGUACUAUAAAUUAACAGCAGAUUAUUUAUAGGGAAAAGCUGGGAACGAGCUAGUUUUUUUUAUUUUCUUUCGGAUGACAGUAUUUGUUUCAUAUUAGGAGCCAUGACUUGUUGUAGUGGCCGUGAUGAGAAGUAGUGUUGGCACAAAUGGCUGCACGUUGUGGACAUGAUUUUUGUUUCUAUCAUGUUUUACCUUUUAUUCUUCAUUUCCUUUCCUUCUGAAUUCAUGCUUUAUUUUUUUCUUUGUGAUGGGAUAUGGCUAAUUAUAUUUGGUCACAGAAACUAGCAUCAGAAUGGUCUUUGCUUAUUUUAUAGAUUUCAAGAGUAACAACUUAAUAUAGUCACAGAUAUCUAUAGAAGAAGUGCCUUUACUGGUUUUAGACUUCAGAUGGGUGUUUUAGAGUGCUUGCGCUCCUGAGGUGGGUGGGUGGUUGGUUAGUUUGGAAUACAAUAUAUUAUUAUUUGAGUUGCAUUUGCAUGUGUUACCAGUUUACUGAAUUUAUGUCCUGGUUUCUAAACUCUUCUUGUUCUAUUGAGUUACAUUUCAAAAUCUCAUCUUUGUUGGUAGAUUUUGUGCUUAAAAUGAGUGUGUAACAAUGUUUUUGCAGCCUAGCUGAUAAUACUUUUCCCUGAAAAUUAAAAACACUACUGUUCGCAAAUAGUUGGGGUUUCUUUUUAGCCAAUCAUAGCCAGCUUGAUUUGGUUUUGUGUUGUUUUCAUGAACUUAAUGAGUAUGCACUUGUAGCAAGUCAACUCUGGUUCUUGGCAUUGCAACCUAAGGUCAUCUGCCGCAGUUACAUUUAGAUAUAUGCAUGCUUCAGAUCCUUGUUCUUCUGUUCGUGGUGCAACAUUAACCCAACGAGAGUCCAGAGAUGAAAUAGGGAUGUGAAAGUAUUAUAUGCUAAUCUGGAGAUUGUCCUCACAUUCUCUUCGAAAGCUUCGAAAACUGUGGCACAUAUCUCAUACAUUAUUGACCAGGUCACAUACCAUGCUGAAACAAGAGAGCGCGCCACCAAGAGCCGUGGAGCUAAUUUUGUUGGGAAAUUUGUGUUCCAAUUGCAGCCACGCUCUCAAUGUAUAAUAGCUCUUUAUGUUAAUUUUGUUUCUUUUUCUUCUUGAUUAUAAUUGGUACAAAUGCCUAAAAUUUGGUAUCUAUCUUUAUCUUCUUUAUUCAUAAGUCAAGACCGAUACUAAAGGCACAACUCGUGUCGAAGAUUGUUGAAAAGAAAAUUAAGGAGGCCGAUGGGGGUGGUGGUUACUCACUAUUUAGUUCCUUUUUUUUUUUUUUUUUUUUUUUUUUGGAAAAUAUAUUAGAUUUUUAGGUGUUUUAGAAUUUUGAAUCUGGAUUUUGUACGAAUAUUGUUAUAUUUUGGAGUUCAAUUAAUAAUGAUUAUUGGAGUUAUUUGAUAUGGUUA